AGUGUACACUCAAUGACCACAUUUUUUGCUUUACCCUUUGUACAUAACAUCACAAUUUUACGAAGUGUCCCACUCCGCCAUUUCUAUUCAACGUACAUGUGCAUUAACUCUUACAAAGCUCGUCAAUCGCCAGGCAGUUGCUUUUGACAACUAACGUUGCUUUAUUCACUGUAGAAUAGGAUGCUGCGACAAGGAUGCAAACCAAACUUCUCACUUCAUUGUAAACCUUUUGAUGAGAAAAGACAACAGACAGUAGCUGUUAACUGUGAGAAUGGGCAGCCCUUUCUGUAUUCACAGAUUUGAGGGGAACAUUUUUCACAAGAUCCGUAAAGAGAAGGAAACUCUGGAAACUGGAAGUGGUGAAGCCUUGGAGCAAGAACGCCGGUGGCGAGGAACAAUAGCAUGCGGUGAAGUCCUGAGCAGCAGCCAAAGUCAGGAAGAACGCCAUCCAGAGCCUCAGCAGGAGCUCGCUGCCUCAUCAUAGCCACAGCGGAAAGCAGGCUUGCAUUCGCACCCCAGAUCUUCCAGUCACUCGCACGGAGGGAGGACACGGAUGAACUGAUGAACAGAUCUUGUAAAGCCAGGCUGCAGUCAGCUGUGAAGAGUCAUUUGUCUUCGCAUGAAAUAAAAUGCACUUUCCAAAGUAGAGUUUUCCAUUUCUUUUGUUUUGUUUUUUUGUUUCUUCUGCUAAGCUCCACUUCUCUCUAUCGCCCUCCAAGCAUGUCCCUGAAGUGCAUCUUUUAUUAAAACCACAUGCAGGG